UACGUAGGGGGCAGGCGUUGUCCGGAUUUAUUGGGCGUAAAGAGCGUGUAGGCGGCCAUACAGGUCCGUUGUGAAAACUCGAGGCUUAACCUCGAGACGUCGAUGGAAACCGUAUGGCUAGAGUCCGGAAGAGGAGAGUGGAAUUCCUGGUGUAGCGGUGAAAUGCGCAGAUAUCAGGAAGAACACCAACGGCGAAGGCAGCUCGCUGGGACGGAACUGACGCUGAGGCGCGAAAGCGUGGGGAGCGAACAGG
rnacentral:rRNA from 1 species